rnacentral:rRNA from 1 species
GACGAACGCUGGCGGUGUGCUUAACACAUGCAAGUCGAACGGAAAGGCCCUGCUUUUGUGGGGUGCUCGAGUGGUGAACGGGUGAGUAACACGUGAGUAACCUGCCCUUGACUUUGGGAUAACUUCAGGAAACUGGGGCUAAUACCGGAUAGGAGCUCCUGCUGCAUGGUGGGGGUUGGAAAGUUUCGGCGGUUGGGGAUGGACUCGCGGCUUAUCAGCUUGUUGGUGGGGUAGUUGCUUACCAAGGCUUUGACGGGUAGCCGGCAUGAGAGGGUGACCGGCCACAGUGGGACUGAGAUACGGCCCAGACUCCUACGGGCGGCAGCAGUCGGGAAUAUUGCACAAUGGGCGGAAGCCUGAUGCAGCAACGCCGCGUGCGGGAUGACGGCCUUCGGGUUGUAAACCGCUUUCGCCUGUGACGAAGCGUGAGUGACGGUAAUGGGUAAAGAAGCACCGGCUAACUACGUG